UACAGAGACUGCAAGCGUUAUUCGGAUUCACUGGGCGUAAAGGGUGCGCAGGCGGCCAAGUGUGGUGAGGCGUGAAAGCCUGGAGCUUAACUCCAGAAUUGCACCUCAAACUACAUGGCUAGAGCAUUGGAGAGGGUAGCAGAAUUCAUGGUGUAGCAGUAGAAAUGCGUAGAUAUCAUGAGGAAUACCAGAGGCGAAGGCGGCUACCUGGACAAUUGCUGACGCUCAGGCACGAAAGCGUGGGAGCAAAAGGG
rnacentral:rRNA from 1 species